rnacentral:rRNA from 1 species
UACGAGGGGGGCGAGCGUUGUUCGGAAUUAUUGGGCGUAAAGGGUGCGUAGGCGGUUCCGCAAGUCCUGUGUGAAAUCUUCGGGCUCAACUCGAAGUCUGCACGGGAAACUGCGGGGCUUGAGUGUGGGAGAGGUGAGUGGAAUUCCCGGUGUAGCGGUGAAAUGCGCAGAUAUCGGGAAGAACACCCGUGGCGAAGGCGGCUCUCUGGGACGGUACUGACGCUGAGACGCGAAAGCGUGGGGAGCGAACAGG